GAUGAAGAAACGUAGUGAAAUGCGAUAACUAAUGUGAAUUGCAGAAUUCAGUGAAUCAUCGAGUCUUUGAACGCACAUUGCGCCCCCUGGUAUUCCGGGGGGCAUGCCUGUCCGAGCGUCAUUGCUGCCCUCAAGCACGGCUUGUGUGUUGGGCUCCGUCCCCCCGGGGACGGGCCCGAAAGGCAGCGGCGGCACCGAGUCCGGUCCUCGAGCGUAUGGGGCUUUGUCACCCGCUCUGUAGGCCCGGCCGGCGCCAGCCGACAACCCAUCAUCCUUUUCAGGUUGACCUCGGAUCAGGUAGGGAUACCCGCUGAACUUAAGCAUAUCAAUAAGCGGAGGA
rnacentral:misc_RNA from 1 species